GCGUAAUUUAGCCUGACAAUUUUCAUUGCCGAUCAAAGCAAUGAGCUUCCUCCUCCAUGGCUUCGCAUGAACAACCUUCAAUCUGGAGCUUCAACUCGUACAUGAAAACAAAAAAAAUUGUUCUUUUAUUUUUUUUUGAAUUUUUUCUAGUACUAUCUGAUUCUGUAAGAAUUUUCCAAACCCUUGAAUGUCUUGGAUCGUAGUAGCUCGAGUUGAGCACGAAUAUCGACGAUUAAUAUCGGAUUGAAAGUUGAGGUAAACCAUCUUUUUGUUUCAAGGUAUGAGUCGGGAGCUCCUUGCUGUGUGUUACUUUGCUUGCUAUGGCAUGGAUGAUGCACGGACUUUAACCUGAUGGUGAUGUCUAGCAAGUUUGAAUUCACUUCAAGUAGCCCAGAUAGACCAUUACACUCUAGUGGGCAACGUGGAGCCCACAUGGCCGUUCCACUGGACAGAUCUGGUAGCUUUCGCGAGAGUUUGGAGAAUCCAAAUUUAUCUACUCUUCCAAAUAUGUCGAGAAGUGCUUCUGCUGUAUCACAGGGGGACGUUUUAAAUUUCUUGCAAUGCUUGCAUUUUGGUCGAAAGUUGGUUGCUACAGAUGAAAAGUCUAAUCGCCAAGGGGACUUCAGCAGACAGUUGCAACUUGCUCUUAGUAUGUCACCAGACGAUUCUCCAUCUAGUUCUUCAAAAGGUAAAUUUCCAUCAUCUGUGAUGCCAGAAGAAAUCAAACGGAUGAAGGUUAGUCUACGUGAGUGCUCUAUCAAAGCCAGGGAACGCUUGAAACUUUUCAAUGAAGCCUUAUCUGUAUUUAACAAGUUUUUCCCAAGUGUACCAUCAAAAAAGAGAUCCCGGUCAGAAGGUUAUAACAAUGAGCGGUCCAAUCUCAUUUUAUCUGGUGAGCGGUCUGCGAGGGGGCAAGUAGGCAAGUUUGGAAAUCAGAGUCAUGCAAUCAAUGGUGUUUUUGAGCAUGAGAUGCAGAAAUCUGAAGAACGAAUAAAAAAUGCUUUGCCGAAUAAACGCACAAGAACUUCUUUGGUGGAUGCAAGGGGGAUGGAUGUUCGUGGUAAUCCUCCUGUGAGACCAUCUGGAGCUGCAGACAGGGAAAGAGAUGCACUAAGGCUUCCAAAUAGUGGUGCUGUUCCAGGUGAAGAUAGGAGUUUAUCAAUUGGCGUCGAUGGUUGGGAGAAGUCAAAAAUGAAGAAAAAGCGAUCUGGAAUAAAGCCAGAUGUCUCUUCAAGCAGUCAAUCAACGAAACCAGUAGAUAGCUAUGAUGAAGUUAAGCAACAAUUGCAGCAAAGACCUGUUUCUGAUGCUCGAUCACGAAUAAAUAAAGAUAGCCAUGGGUUUAGGCCAGGGUUUGCUAAUGGAGCUUCUGGUGUUGGAAAAUCUGAUGCUGUUGCCCAACAAAAUGGCUUGGGUAUUCGUUCAUCCAUGUCCAGGACUGAUUUGGACGGCAAUUCCCUUGUCAAUGACAGGAGAGAUAAUUCUUUUGGUUCAGACAAAGAAAGAGUGAAUCUCCGGGGUGUUAAUAAGUCGAAUGUCCGUGACGACUUUGUUUCAACCAGUCCUACAUCAAAUGCUAAAGUAAAUCCAUCUGUUCGUGCUCCGCGGUCCGGUUCAGGCGUUGCUCCAAAAUUUUCCCCGGUUGUUCAUAGAGCAGUUGCUUCUAAUGAUUGGGAUAUGUCAAAUUGCACAAAUAAGCCUACUGCUCCUGUUGGUGUGAGCAAUCGUAAACGCAUGACAUCAAUGCGGUCCUCAUCCCCUCCAGUUUCCCAUUGGGCAAGCCAGAGACCACAGAAGAUCUCCCGCAUUGCAAGGAGGACCAAUCUGGUUCCUAUUGUUUCAAGCAAUGAUGAUAAUCCUUUGGAUAACACAUCUGAUGUUGUGGGCAAUGAUACUGGCUUGGGAUUUGGUAGACACAUGUCUGGUAGUUCUCCACAGCAAAUGAAAAUAAAAGGUGAACCAUUAUCCUCAGCUGCCCAAUCUGAAAGCGAGGAAUCUGGGGCUGCUGAGAUCAAAUCUAGAGAGAAGACCCGAAAAUCGGACGAUUUAGAUGAUAAAUCUGAACAAGGUGUUCAAAAGGUACCUUCUUUAGUUCUGCCGACUAGGAAGAAUAAGUUGGUUGAUGAAGACAUAGGAGAUGGGGUUCGGAGACAAGGGAGGACUGGCCGUUCUUUUACUUCCACUAGGUCUCUCAUGCCAAUGACAGUUGAGAAGAUUGAUGCUGUAGGAACUGCAAAACAGCUUAGAAGUGCCAGACUUGGAUUUGAUAAAGUUGAAAGCAAGGCAGGUCGUCCACCUACUAGGAAAUUUACUGACCGCAAGGCAUAUAAACGUCAAAAGCAUUCGGCAAUCAAUGUGGGGACAGAUUUUCUUGUUGGAUCAGAUCAUGGGCAUGAAGAGCUAUUGGCUGCUGCUAAUGCUGUUACAAAUCCUGGUCGCACUUUUUUCAGCCCAUUUUGGAGACAGAUGGAGCAGUUUUUUCGUUUUAUAUCUGAAGCAGAUAUUACGCACUUAAGAAAGCAAGGAGAUCUUGAAGGUGCUGCAUCAGGGCCAAAAGUUGUUUCAGACAAGGACGCUUACAAUAUUAGUCACGAUAAUUUUGAGCACAUUGAAAAUGAAGCAAGAGGAGAGGUUCCUUUAGAACAUAUAAUUCAAAAGUCAAAAGAUCAUACUGUAAUUCCUUUAUACCAGAGACUCUUAGCCUCGUUAAUUCCAGAGGAGGUGGCUGACAACGAAAGUGAGGACUCCGAAUUUGAUAGAUACGGAAUGUCUGAGUUGGAUGAAGAUUUUAAACCAAACAAACUGAGUCACGAAAUUUCACCUAGUUCUCAGUUUUCUGGGCAUUCUGCUAAUGAUGAUUAUAACAUGAGAGGAGGAUCGGGAUCAGAUCAAUAUAUGCCUGAAACAGAUAGACAGGGCAUUCCAAACUCUGUGAUGAUGUUAAAUUUCUCAAAUUCCCUGAAUGGCUUGGUCUCUAAUCAAGCUUUGCCUGGAAUGGCCUGUCCAGAGUUUCAGUAUGAAGACAUGCCAUUGAAUGAGAAACUUCUCUUGGAGAUUCAAAGUAUUGGAAUUUUCCCAGAUUCGGUGCCUGAAAUGUUACAGAUAGAAGAGGAAGAGAUCACCAAUGACAUCCGUCAGUUGGAAGAGAAGAAGAAUGAGCUGGUUUCAAGAAAGAAUUCUUUGCUCCACAAACUGUUACAGUCUGCCUUGGGCACAAAGCAACUUCAAGAAAAGGAGUUUGAAAGGCUUGCCAUGGAUAAACUUGUUGCAAUGGCUUACGAGAAGUAUAUGGCUUGCAAAGUUUCUAAUGCCUCUAGUGGAAAGAGUUCCAAUAACAAAAUGGCAAAGCAAGCUGCCUUGGCAUUUGUUAAAAGAACAUUGAACCGUUGUCAUAAAUUUGAGGAUACAGGAAAGAGCUUCUUCAGUGAGCCUUCAUUUAGAGAGAUAUAUUCUUCCUGGUCUGUCAAUCCCAAUGGUGAAAGGCAAUCAGAUCCUGUGGAGGGUGAAUCAGAGAAAUCAUAUGCCUCCAUUCAAUCUCUGGAUGCCAGAGUCUCAGCUUUGGCAGGUUCACAGAAUAGCCCUUCACACUUUAGUCAGAAUGUGGAAAACCACGAUGUUACCUCUGGCAAUGUGCUUCCACCUGCUAAUCACCAAGCUGAGAGAACAACCGGAAGAGAAGAAAUAUGGUCAAACAGGGUGAAAAAGAGAGAACUGUUGCUUGAUGAUGUCGGUAAUGCAGGUGCCCCAUCAGUCAUUGGGAGUUGUAUUUCAAGCAGUGCAAAAGGGAAGAGGAGUGAAAGGGAUAGAGAUGGUAAAGGACAUAACAGAGAGGUGUCGUCUAGAAACGGAACUAAAAUUGGUAGGCCAGCAUUAUCAAAUACUAAAGGGGAAAGGAAAACUAAGACAAAGCCCAAGCACAAAACUGCCCAAUUAUCAAUUUCUGUUAAUGGCCUUCUAGGCAAGAUGCCAGAGCAACCAAAAUCAACGCUGUCUCCUCUACCAAAAUCAAGUACUUCAACUGGUGGUUCAAAAGAAAAGGAUCAAUUUGGCUUGGAUGGACUUGAUGACCCUGACUCCAUAGAUUUAUCUAAUCUUCAAUUACCAGGAAUGGAUGUAUUAGGUGUUCCUGAUGAUCUUGAUGGCCAGGGUCAGGAUCUGGGUUCAUGGUUAAAUAUUGAUGAGGAUGGUUUACAAGAUCAAGACUUCAUGGGCCUUGAGAUUCCAAUGGAUGACCUCUCAGAUUUAAAUAUGAUGGUUUGAAGUUGCCCUCCUUGUAUAGUCUUCAAGUCUUGUUUAUUAAUACUUUACAAACUAAAAGGAAAUCCUACGUUAAGAGUGACUGGUAGUUGCAUAGUUAUUGGCUACCGAUCCAAAUUAGGUUAUUAGAUUCUUUUGAGGCUCCUCUUCAAGUUAUUUCAAGUAAAUCUUUCGGAUGUUUGGAAUUUUGCUCCUGUAUUUAGUUGGUGACUUUGACUGUAAAGAUAGUCUUGUUCAAGCUACAAGUUAGUAUAGUCAUAGUGAUAUCUAGGGUACACAGUAUCCUUCAUGUAGCUUUUUGAUCAGAGAAUGAUUCCUCUUGUACAUAAGUUCAUAUUUGAAAUAAAUCAGCCUUUUAUUCUACAAGGGUCUGGAAAUUGUUUAAACUUUAUUUCCUAAUUUCUUAUGGUACAUAAUUCUUAAAGCAUAGUUAAUCUGUCAAAACUGAUGCAGCGGAUAUACAGAUAGGAAACGGCCAUCAAAAUCUGCUUGGGAAUGUAAGGUCUUCAAUCCAUUCACUUGGGAAACUGGUUUACACUUUCCAUAACUUGAUGUUACCAAAGAUAUUUGCUUGGUAACUACAAAAGCUUGAGGUCUCCAAUUCAUCCACUUAAGAAACUGAUUUCGAUUUUCCUUACUUUGAGGAAAUGAAAUCUGAAGAUAAACUGUUUAGCCAUAUAAUGGUCAUGUCAGGGGACAUGGACACCACCAGGAGUUCGAACUUUGUUGAAUCCCAUACCAGAACUUUGAGCAUUCUUACCACAAAUGCAUUAUUCCUUCCUUGAAUGCUCACUUCCAUGGAAAAUUAAUGUGAGAUUGCAACCUGAUAUCGGACAUGGAGGAUCUGAAAUCAGAGGAAGACAGGCUAGCAGCUGACAAAUGGCGGCUCUCUCCAUCAUGAAGCUGAGGCACUGUGGACAUUGGACACUUCUUAUGAGUGCAAUCUGGAUGCGGAAAUCAUCUGUCAGAAACUCUCACGGGAAGACGAUGUUUAGACUCGGAGCGUUUUAUAAUCUCAAAUGGUGGUGUUGUGCUUAAACUCAGUCUCCACAUUCUUUGAUUCUUUAGAAGUUGCUUUCAGAAAAGAAUCAGUUUCCAAUGUGGGAUGUCCUACUAGGUAAACAACGAUGUGGGAUGGUAGAAGGUUUCAUCACAAAUCAAAGAUGCAACCAAACUGCCCAUAAUCUAGCAAGCCAUGUUAGACGAAUAUGAACAACACAAGUGUGGAUCGAAGACCAUUCCCUUGGGUGAAGCUUUAUGUUUCUUCUUUUUCUCAUAUGCUUCAAGUUAUGUUUCUUCUUUUUCUCAUACGAUGUAAGAGUAUUAGUUAAGGAUAUAUGGGUAAGAUUUGUAUGAUAUUAGUAAGGGAGGGGUAUUACAGAUAAUUAACUAGUGUCUUGACUACAAACAAAAGGGAAUUAUGGACCUUAGAGGGUGUGAAUCAUUUUGGCGAGAGUUUUCAUCGUGAGACUUUGAGAGAGUGUGCCUUCUCGAAAGGUUAUUGGUAUAUUAUAACUUCAUGUAUUCC